rnacentral:tRNA from 1 species
GGCCCCGUAGCUCAGCGGAUAGAGCAGGCGCUCCGUAAGCGUCGCUGUCGUGGGUUCGAGUCCCACCGGGGCCG